CGCUCCGACUGUGGGGACGGAGGCACCGCGGCGGGGCCCGGGCCGCACCGGGCGCAGGAGCGUCCUCGCUCCGCUCGUCCGCGCCUGCGGGGCGGCUUGCAGCCGGGCAGGGCGAGAACAAGGGAGCGCGGCACGGAAGACCGGCAGGGAAGAUGGGGAGGUCUGGGCUGAGAAGAGGUCUCCCGCCGUCGGCGACGAAGCGGACCCCCUCCCCGCGGCCACGGCGCCCGGUCACGCUGCGGGGAGGGCCGGCAGGCACACGGGGAGCGCCCCGCGAGCUCAGGACUCCCGCGCCGGAUGUGAGGUCACGUGAUUGCCUCAUCCCAGCGCCCAGCGCGGAGGGGCAGGCGAGGGGCGGGGCGAUUAUCCGGCCCCGCCCACCUCUCGCAAUCGGGCCCCCCAGCCCGCCUAAGCAAGAACCGCUAGCGGGAGACGCUCUCCAAGAGCGCUUUGCGGUGAUUCCGCUCUGGGCUCGUUUUGAACGGUGUGUGGCUCGCCAUGUUCAGAGAAGAUCGUGGUCCAAACCCCCAUUUUAUGAACAAAGAAACUGAGGCCCCGAGUUAAGUGCAGACUUGCCUAACGUGGCAGUCAAGAGAGGACGCCAAUGCUAACACGGUGGAGAGAGAAGUCCUAGCUCCGGGGCCGGAUUCUUUCCCCACCUACACCAGAAAGAACACUUUAAUUCCAAUGGAACUCCUGGCCCAGCCCGCGGGCGUGGGACACAGAACAGAGUCAGGAGCUAAAAGGAUGCUGCUCCGGCCCUCCACCCGCGGCAGUGGGAUCCUGGAUGGCGGCCAUAGAAUUUCGUCUUGCCAAGUGAUAUGGACAUCACACUAAAGGAAGAUAAGCCACAGCUGUGUGUUCCCAGCUCCCGCUCACCACUGUUUCAAACUUCGAUAAUACUGAAGAAUUCUUCAAAAUCUCACUUUAGGCUCUAGACAGCCAAGACCACUCGGAGAGUCUGCUCAAGUACCCAGACUUCAACUGCCUCCAGACCUUCUUCCCCACAGCUUGGAUUUUUCCCUCUUCCGAAACACUGGGAUAGAAUGCUGCUGAGUGAGCCUACAGAGCAAUGGAUGACAGAAUCAUUUCUUUUCAGACUUGCUAUGCCCCACUAGCAAUGGCAUGAUUCUUGUUUUAUGCAGUGAUUUGGAAACAUGGUCCCUUAUACUCCAGGUUGGCUUUGAACUCUGAUCCUUAGUCUCUGCCUCAAGUACUGAGAUCAUGCUAGACUCAAAUAGCAUAUUAUAGGGAAGAAAAUUGAGGAUCACGGGAGGAGAUAAUUCCUGUGAGUCCUUCUAAGUCAAGCCCUCUUUCAUAUUCACUCUGCUGCCUCCACAAAAGAAAACAUGUAUUUUUGAGACAGGUGUGAUGGCUCACACUUAUAAUUCAAACACCCAAGAGGCUGAGGUAGGAGGGUCACCAAGAGUUUUCGGUCAGCCUGGGCUACAUAGUGACUUCCAGGCUAGCAUGUGCUAUAGAAUCAACUCUGCCUCAAAACAAUUACAAAAGAAGAAUAAGAAAAGGAGGAGGAGGAAACUAAGCUGCGUGUGGUGGGUCCUUCUGUAAUCUAGCCCUCUCUCAUGAGGCUGGGACAAGAGGGUUGCCAUGAGCUCAGUGUCAGCUAGGACAGGAUAUAAAUUCCAGGUCAACCUGUACUGGCUAUACAGUGAGACUUUAUCUCAAAGGAACGAACCACCUAGGCAUUGACCUUUAAUUCCAGGCCAAUCCCAUCUACACAGUGAGAUCCAGGCUAGCCAGCACUAAAUAAAGCCCUGCUUCAAACAACAAUCAACAAAAUGAAAGAACAAGGCUGGUGAGAUAGUUCAAGGCCUAAAGAUUUGAGUUUGAUUCCCCAGGACCCCCAUGGUGGAAGGAAAUAACUCCUGAAAGUUGUCCUCUGACUUCCACUCAUACAGUGUGGUAUGUGCACACCUACGCACACAUGUGCACUCACACAUGCACAAAAUGAAUGUAUGAGAAUAUAUGUAGUAACAUAAUGAGUGUGGCCACGCAAACCUGCCCUAACACAGUCCUCCCCAUGUGAAUCUGGAGAGAAAUGCAAACACCUCUUCAAUUUAGGGUUUGAAAGGCAGUGCCUCACUCAGUUGUUCAGAGAAUGUCCUUGUGUCUAGAUGAGGUGACUGUGUGGCCACAGGCUUUUAUGUGUCCCACCCAGUCCCUCAGCCACCUAUAAAAUUAUCACUCAGAUGCUUAAUGUUAAUUAUAAUUGUUUGGCAGAGGCUCGGGAUUAUUUCUGGCUAGCUCUUACAUUUAAAUUAAUCUAUUUCUAUUAAUCUAUGUAUUGCUACAUGGCCGUGUCUUGCUUCCUUGGUGGCUGGCCAAUGUCUCCUCCUGACUUUGUCUCUUUUUCCCUGUAUCUCUGCUUGGAUAUCCCACCUGGCUCUAUUCUGCCUGGCUAUUGACCAAACCAGCCUCUUUGUGUUAAAGAUAGAGAAGCUGACUUCAAGUCUUAGCCUUCUCCUUAUAAGCCAAACAUUUCUCAAUUUGAGUCCCAAUUGUUAUCUUAUUGUUAUUUGUGGUAUUGUGAAUUAAGCCUAGAGCCUCAAGCCAGACCUCUCAUUUUGAGAAUUACUUUACUUAGUUGCCCAGCCUGCCCUUGAACUCAUAAUCCUCCUGCCUCAGCCUGCAAAGCAGUUGAUUUUACAGUAGUUCUGUGCCAGCAGAGCACCCCAAUCUCAGUUAUAAUGUAGUGUUAUCCACUUCACAAGUUAUUUGAUCAUCUAAAAACCAUGCUUAGCACUUACUGUUAAGCAUUAAGUUCUCCCCAACUCAUAUUACCGGCAUAGAGGUAAAGAAAGGGACAAGUGCAGAGACCAUAAUUCUAAGGUCACACAGCUAGCAACUCAGCUCCAGAUCCCCUUGUCUUUAGCCUAAACUCCAGAGCAGCAGUUCUCAACCCCUUUUGGGGGUCAAAGAUCCUUUCACAGGGGUCACCUAAGACCAUUGGAAAAUACAGAUGUUUACAUUAUGAUUCAUAACAGUAGCAAAAUUACAUGUAUGAAGUAGCAAUGGAAAUAGUUUUAUGAUUGGGGUCACCACAGAAUGGGGAACUGUAUUAAAGCAUCACAGCGUUAGGAAGGUGGAGAACCACUGAUCAAGUUUAGAGCUCCAAGUCAGCUAUCUGGUUCUGUUUUCUCUUUCUUCCUUUUCUCCUUCCUUCCUUCUUUCUUUCAUUUCUCCUUUGGGUUUUUUGUUUGUUUUAUUUUUUGUUUUUUGUGACAGGAUUUCUCUGUGUAAUAGCUCUGACUAUUCUGGAACUAGCUCCGCAGACCAGGCUGGCCUCAAUCUCACAGCAAUCUGCCUUUGCCUUCUAAGCACUGGGAUUAAAGGUGUGCACCACCACCACCUGACAUUCUCCUUUGUUGUUUUGUGGGGUUUUUUUUUUUUUGCUUGUUUGUUUUGUUUUGUUUUUCAUUUUUAGCUACUGCUAGUAGCCAACCCUCUGCUUUGUGCCUACACCUCCUAUUCCAUCGAGCUAUGCCCCACCCAAUGAACUAGUUUUCUAGAGUUUACCAGAACACAGCCACACUCAAUCACUGUUGCAUUUUCUAAGCAGUGUUUAUUCUAUAAUGGGAGAGGUGAGGAAUUGUGUUAAGGGAAACAUAGGCCACACAGUCAAGACACUAUCUGGCUGUUUACAAAGAAAGCUUUUUGACAUCUUUUCUAUGGCAUCCUGCCUGUAUGGGGUGACACACUAGUUAUUAGUUGUGGAUGAAACUGGAUUGGAAAUUACUUUUGCUGACCAAGAAAACAAGCGGGACUAAUGUCACUACAGUUACUGGACCAGCUUUUGUAUUCUAAUAGUUGGGUCAGUGAAAUGGAAUCCUUAAUAGCCCAAGGUGUGACCUUCAAUAAUAAAUAAUCCAUAAAAGUCUAAUGUUUUAAGGCCUUGAGCCAAUGUCUUUCCCCAGCUGCCUAGCCUACUCUCAUUCUUGGAGUAUCUUUCUCAUCCUUAAUGAACCGUCUCCAUCCAGAGAAGGGGGGAAGGGGAGAAGAGAGAACAUUUAUGUUUCCUACUUCUUGAGAUCCCAACAUUGUUGGGUUGAAAUGAACUUAGCAAGGCCUGCUAAUACACAUCUGUAAUUCCAUUCACUUGGGAACAUGAAGCAGAAGGGUUAGGGUUAGGGUUAGACAUUCCUGGGCUAUAAAGGAAGCACAAAGUCAAUUGGACAAGACCCUGUGUGUCAAAUACAUCUGCAAUCCCAGCAAUUGAGUAGAGGUAGGAAGAUCUGGAGUUGGAGUCCAAAAACCUUUUGGGUCAGGGGAUGUAGCUCAGUGGUAGCCACUCUGCUGGUUCUGUGUGAGGCUCUAGAUUCAGUGAUGAAGUCGGGGAAGGAAGGAGAAAUUCAAGCUGUUCGUUCAUUCAGGCUGUCCUCUUGGGAAUACUGUACUGGGCUUCUAAAGCUAGUGUGGGACAUCUCCCAUGAUCAUCAGCAGUCCUGCUGGAUGAGUCCCCUGCCUGAAGAGGGGCAGGCCUUUAGCACAGCAAGGCAAAGCCAGAUCUAUCACAGAGCUGAGGCACUAGGCUGGCAUCUCAACACCUGUCAUCCUGUACCAAGAGCUGAUUCUUCAAGUGCCUGUUUCACAUUCCAAAGAAGCUCCUCGAAGCCUAUCAUUCACUGGCCUCCUGUAGUCAGUCGUUAAAAACUUCCCCUGACCUUUGCAGCUACUUCCUAUGAGCCUCUGAGGGACUGCCAGUCACCUGUGGCCUAUUUUCAGAGCUGGCAGCUCUGGCUUCUAGAGCAAACAUGGGACAAGCCCAGCCUCCAGCCUUGGGGGGGGGUCCUCUGAAUUUCCUCUAAGUUCCUAGUUCUAAAAGAAGAUUGUUUUCAGGAAGGAUUAGAAGGGUAAAUGGGAGCCCAAAUGCCACAUUCAGGUAGAUAGAUUCUCACUGCUGUACCCCAAGUCACUAUCUCAAGAUCUGGAUAGCCAGAAGGCUGUUAGCUUGUUUGCUUAAGUCAGUUACUUCCUUGUAGGUUUGGUGGGGGUGCAUUUACACUUAUUUACUUUUUUUUCUCAUAGCAAUGAUGCCCCCACAGAGUUAGGAAGUUAAAGCAAUACUGACUGCCAGCUGUAGUGUGGGAGUUCCACUGCAAAAGAAUGUCGUACAUAUUUCAAAAGUGAGCCUGUCCAAAACACGCCUCCAGUUUGGCUUUACCUGUAAUCUAAUCCAGUGGAGGAAGCAGAAUCCAAAUAGCUCAAGGUUCUGCGAACUCCACAACAGCUGCCACCACCAAAUGACAGCAAGCUGGGCUCUAAGGUGGAGAAAACUUGGUAGCUCCAUGCCACGUGGUCUUUGCCACUGUAGUCCUAAGAUGGACUUAAAUAGUUCAUAUUAGCGACCAAGAAAACUGAGGUGAAACCUCUUGGAACUGAACUACAAGUUCAGUUAUUCACAUUUGAUCUUGGUCCAAAGGCCAAGAAGAAAAAGGAAAGGGAGAAAGGAAGGAACACGGUUACACCACAACUUGAGAGUCUCCUGCCUCAGCCUCCCCAGUGAUGAGAUUAUACACAUGGGACAUCAUGCUUUAAAAGUCCAUCUAUCUAUCCAUUCAUUUAGAGGCAGUAGCUCAGUUUGGCCUCAAACUCUCCAUGUAGCUGAGGUUAGCCUUGAACAAUACAUGAUGUAGCUGAGGUUGGCACUGAACUCAUGAUCCUCCUGUCUCUACCUUCCAGGUACUGGGAUCACAGUCAUGAAUCACCAAGAUUUUUUGUCUUAAAAUGUUGCUCAGGCUAGUCUUGAACUCAAGAUGGUCUUUCUGCCUUAGUGCUGAGUGUGCCAUCAUGCUCAGCAAAUGCACGGCCAAUUUUAUUUUCUAGCGCUAUGGGUGUUAUUAUGCAGGCAUCUGUACUGGCCUGCCCAUGAGGUCCUGACAGGAUAUGCCCUCAGCUGCAGCCACUAAGAGCACCACCUGUGUCUUUUCACUAUGUUCCCUUUUAAAAAGGGCCCUGCCCACUCCCAUUCCCCCCCCUCUCUCUCUCUCUCUCUCUGUCCCCCUUUCCUCGCUCCUGCUGCUCCUGUCCUCAGAGGCCAGUCUCCCCUUUCCCCCUUUUAUGAUCCCUUUCCCUAAUUAAAAAAAAAAAAAACCUGUCAUAUGGUGUCUUUCUCUCCAUCGAUGCUUUUUUAAAAUUACAGCAAUGUGUUGAACCUAGUAUAUACCAGACCAGCGCUCUAUCCGCUGAUCUAGAACCCUAGCCCUAAUUUAAAUAAUGACCUUAAUUUGUUGUUAUGUUUUUAAGAUUUAUUUUGUUUUAAGAGCAUGUGUGUAGGCCUGAGUGUAUGUAAUGUGUAACACAUGAUGCAGG
rnacentral:lncRNA from 1 species